rnacentral:rRNA from 1 species
ACCAGUGGCGACAGCACGUUGAAUACACCAGUUCCUCACGGACCACUGAAGCUAAGCAACGUUGCGCAUGGUUAGUACCUGGAUGGUGACCAUCAGGGGAAUCGCGAGCUUCUGGGU